rnacentral:rRNA from 1 species
UACGGAGGGUGCAAGCGUUAUCCGGAUUCACUGGGUUUAAAGGGUGCGUAGGUGGGCAGGUAAGUCAGUGGUGAAAUCUCUGAGCUUAACUCAGAAACUGCCGUUGAUACUAUCUGUCUUGAAUAUAGUGGAGGUGAGCGGAAUAUGUCAUGUAGCGGUGAAAUGCUUAGAUAUGACAUAGAACACCCAUUGCGAAGGCAGCUCGCUACACUAUCAUUGACACUGAGGCACGAAAGCGUGGGGGAUCAAACAGG